UAUACUUUAUAGGUUUUUCCUUCACACUUAUCUAUAUGUCCGCAGCAUAAAUUGACAAGUACUUAUGAAUCUAUGAAUUUUAUAGACCUUCCUGUGUUUCACGAUCUUGUCCAAUCUUGCCCAUCUUACCAUCUUGUAUUAAAAACGACGCUAUGUCGCCAUUUUUAAAAUUUUGCAAUUUCAUUUGCUUUUCGAUUGAUGAUAAAUAAGAAUGGAAGAGUGUUCAUUUUGAUGCAACUGAAAAAGCAAGUGGCAAACAACAAAAAAAUGGUGUUCGUUUCAUUUUGGAGGAUCUUCUAUUACGAACAUUGGUUGUGUCAGUGUUCUAUCCAGAAAGUAGAUGUCCUAAAAAGAAGCACAAAAGUGCCUUUUUUCUACAGGGAGAGCACAGGGUACCAUUGCUAAGGGAAAGAUUUAUGACGAAUGGACUGAUUGUCCAAGUGAAGAGAAAUUACAGCUAAUUCUGAUGGUACUGAAAGAGUCGAUGAUUUUGACGUCUUACCCUUGCAACAUAAUUUUGCACCUGAGAUGGGGAGACAUUUGAAAAUUACUUUGGAAACGACUAAAACAACAACUUGUCUGCAGUGGUAUUCCUCCUGAAUUUGGCUUGUUCAUUCUACGUGUGGACCUUAGAAAGCUACUUUCUGCAGAUAAUUAAGAUUGUCCAACAAAUGAGUUCAGUUUGGCGGUACUCGAACAACCGUCUACAUGGGUGUGGUCUUUUCAGGACUUUGUUCCUGAUUUGAUAUUUUUAUCUUCACUUUGCAACACCAUGCAGUUGAUUUUCGACCGAUUAGUGGGAGCAACUAAGGAUCUAUUUGAUUUCAAAUGGCACAACAAGAUUUCUGCUAUGGUGUUUUUCCUGGAUUAGUUUGCUCUUCACACCUGCAAACAGUUUCAGUCUGCAGUUAAUUAAGGUGAGAAACUUGAUACAGUUAAUUUUAAUUGCUCAUUAUUAAUCUAUUACCACCGUAUCUGUUUCAGAUCAACGUUGGAGAAGCCAAAGAUGACCCCAUAGUUGAAAUACUUCUUUUAUCUUGCAUGCUUUAUCUAAUAGAAUUCAUUAAGUUCAUUUUAUUCAAAUUAAUUUUUUAUUUUGCAUGCUUAUCUUUGUUCAUUUUAUUU